CAGCUAGCUAUAGUGAGCUCUCAUCCAUCAGCACAGCCUCUAGGUGAGAGCUGCAAAGAAGGACAAGAACAUCAGAAGUGGUGAGAAGUAUGGCAGCAAGAGGACACAAAUAGUCAAAAGAAAAGUCUUUGCUAGAUGAUAAGAAACCUGAAAGUUUCUACCAAUCACUUUCCUUCAAGAUCCUGCUCUGCUGGGAAGACAUGAAGUCUCAAGAUUUGGGUUCAGCUAAAAUACUUAGCCAACACUUCUAGGGAAUAAGGAUCAUUAUAGGGUUGUCUGAAGAAUCAAGUUCUUUUUAGGAUAAAUGAAAAGAUUGCCAGUUUUUGUCAAGGUAGCUUUUCCUGA
rnacentral:lncRNA from 1 species